UACGUAGGGGGCAAGCGUUGUCCGGAAUCAUUGGGCGUAAAGAGCGUGUAGGCGGCCCGAUAAGUCCGCUGUGAAAGUCAAGGGCUCAACCCUUGAAUGCCGGCGGAUACUGUCGGGCUAGAGUCCGGAAGAGGCGAGUGGAAUUCCCGGUGUAGCGGUGAAAUGCGCAGAUAUCGGGAGGAACACCUAUGGCGAAGGCAGCUCGCUGGGACGGUACUGACGCUGAGACGCGAAAGCGUGGGGAGCAAACAGG
rnacentral:rRNA from 1 species